rnacentral:rRNA from 1 species
AUGUCCUGGAACGUCAGAGGCCUCAAUGCGCCGGCCAGGCGAACGACUGUGAAUGAGGUAGUGCUGGCAAAUAAGUUGGGCAUCCUAUGCCUACAAGAAACCAAAAUCGAGGAAUGGUCACCUCAAUUAGCCAGGGAUAUUGGUGGAUCAUCUCUUCAGGGUUGUGCGGUCCUGCCGGUAGUAGGAUCAAGAGGUGGGCUGGCCCUUUUUUGGGACGAGUCGAUCCUGAAAGUGGAAACCCAGGCGGUUGGGCAAUUCUCUCUGACGGCCAAAGUGACGCUGCUGCUGUCA